AUGUCCUUCAUGUUCCACAUCGGUAAGGCUUAAGAGCACUUGAAAGUCAUUUGUAGUAUUUAUAUACAUUUAUCAUUUACAUAUUUCUCCUAUUUCUACACACUGGUGUUUCUAGUGAUGGUUAGUAGUUUCUAGGUGCUAAAGUAAAUUAUUUUGCAAUAAUUUUUUUGGUUUUUAUGAUGCUUUGUUAGGGUGGUACUUUAAAAAUUUGCCAGUGAUGUGAUUAAUGGGGCCUCAAAGAACUAGAAAACGGAAAUUGAAAGAGACAGUCUUGCAAAGAGAUCAUAUCUGGAAAACUUUUGAUAAUUACUGAGGUGUAAAAUAAAAUGUUGUGAGGGACGCGGUUUGUCCACUACACAUAUAGAAACUAUGUGCAAAAUAAGGCUUGGCAACAUCCUGGUGCAAAUGUUUCAAGCAGUUUAGUCAACACCUUCUUGCCAACCUUCCAGCUUUUUCCUUAUGUCUAGGUGAUUUAGGGCAAGAAGAACAAAGGAAUCGAGAGAAACAAAUUCUCCAAAGAGCUAAUUCUCAAAAACUUUAUUUAAUUGUCAAUAAUAUCAUGAUAAUCAAAACUACUAAAUAAUAGAAAACCAAGACCUAUUUACUGAGUUUUACAACUCUAAUUACAUUAGAAUUGGAAACCCUAAAACAAUAAAAUACUAAACCAACACUCAAAGUUAAACUAGGAAAAUAAUA
rnacentral:misc_RNA from 1 species